AUUGAACGCUGGCGGCAUGCCUUACACAUGCAAGUCGAACGGUAGCGCGGGGCAACCUGGCGACGAGUGGCGAACGGGUGAGUAAUGCAUCGGAACGUGCCCAGUAGUGGGGGAUAACUGCUCGAAAGAGCAGCUAAUACCGCAUACGACCUGAGGGUGAAAGCGGGGGAUCGUAAGACCUCGCGCUAUGGGAGCGGCCGGGGUCAGAUUAGGUAGUUGGUGGGGUAAAGGCCAACCAAGCCAACGAUCUGUAGCUGGUCUGAGAGGACGACCAGCCACACUGGGACUGAGACACGGCCCAGACUCCUACGGGAGGCAGCAGUGGGGAAUUUUGGACAAUGGACGCAAGUCUGAUCCAGCCGUGCCGCGUGCGGGAAGAAGGCCUUCGGGUUGUAAACCGCUUUUGUCAGGGAAGAAACGCUCUGGGUUAAUACCUCGGGGUAAUGACGGUACCUGAAGAAUAAGCAUCGGCUAACUACGUGCCAGCCGCCGCAGUAAAAC
rnacentral:rRNA from 1 species